rnacentral:rRNA from 1 species
UAAAAACCCCGACUUCGGAAGGGGUGUAUUUAUUAGAUACAAAACCAAUGCCCUUCAGGGCUCUUUGGUGAUUCAUGAUAACUAUACGAAUCGCACGGCCUUGCGCCGGCGAUGGUUCAUUCAAAUUUCUUCCCUAUCAACUUUCGAUGUUUGGGUAUUGGCCAAACAUGGUUGCAACGGGUAACGGAGGGUUAGGGCUCGACCCCGGAGAAGGAGCCUGAGAAACGGCUACUACAUCCAAGGAAGGCAGCAGGCGCGCAAAUUACCCAAUCCCGACUCGGGGAGGUAGUGACAAUAAAUACUGAUACAGGGCCCUUUCGGGCCUUGUAAUUGGAAUGAGUACAAUUUAAAUCCCUUAACGAGGAACAAUUGGAGGGCAAGUCUGGUGCCAGCAGCCGCGGUAAUUCCAGCUCCAAUAGCGUAUAUUAAAGUUGUUGUGGUUAAAAAGCUCGUAGUUGAACCUUGGGCCUGGCUGGCCGGUCCGCCUCACCGCGUGCACUGGUCCGGCCGGGCCUUUCCCUCUGUGGAACCCCAUACCCUUCACUGGGCGUGGCGGGGAAACAGGACAUUUACUUU